rnacentral:rRNA from 1 species
CAUGCAGUCGAGCGGCAGCGACAACAUUGACCCUUCGGGUGAUUUGUUGGGCGGCGAGCGGCGGACGGGUGAGUAAUGCCUGGGAACAUGCCUUAGUGUGGGGGAUAACCAUUGGAAACGAUGGCUAAUACCGCAUAAUCUCUACGGAGCAAAGAGGGGGACCUUCGGGCCUCUCGCGCUAAGAUUGGCCCAGGUGGGAUUAGCUAGUAGGUGGGGUAACGGCUCACCUAGGCGACGAUCCCUAGCUGGUCUGAGAGGAUGAUCAGCCACACUGGAACUGAGACACGGUCCAGACUCCUACGGGAGGCAGCAGUGGGGAAUAUUGCACAAUGGGGGAAACCCUGAUGCAGCCAUGCCGCGUGUGUGAAGAAGGCCUUCGGGUUGUAAAGCACUUUCAGCAAUGAGGAAGGCGGUAUCGUUAAUAGCGGUAUUGUUUGACGUUAGCUGCAGAAGAAGCACCGGCUAACUCCGUGCCAGCAGCCGCGGUAAUACGGAGGGUGCGAGCGUUAAUCGGAAUUACUGGGCGUAAAGCGCAUGCAGGCGGCUUGUUAAGCCAGAUGUGAAAGCCCGGGGCUCAACCUCGGAAUCGCAUUUGGAACUGGCAGGCUAGAGUCUGUAGAGGGGGUAGAAUUUCAGGUGUAGCGGUGAAAUGCGUAGAGAUCUGAGGAAUACCGGUGGGCGAGGCGGCCCUGGACAA